UGAGUAAUGUCUGGGAAACUGCCUGAUGGAGGGGGAUAACUACUGGAAACGGUAGCUAAUACCGCAUAACGCCGCAAGACCAAAGAGGGGGACCUUCGGGCCUCUUGCCAUCAGAUGUGCCCAGAUGGGAUUAGCUAGUAGGUGGGGUAAUGGCUCACCUAGGCGACGAUCCCUAGCUGGUCUGAGAGGAUGACCAGCCACACUGGAACUGAGACACGGUCCAGACUCCUACGGGAGGCAGCAGUGGGGAAUAUUGCACAAUGGGCGCAAGCCUGAUGCAGCCAUGCCGCGUGUGUGAAGAAGGCCUUCGGGUUGUAAAGCACUUUCAGCGAGGAGGAAGGUGGUGAGCUUAAUACGCUCAUCAAUUGACGUUACUCGCAGAAGAAGCACCGGCUAACUCCGUGCCAGCAGCCGCGGUAAUACGGAGGGUGCAAGCGUUAAUCGGAAUUACUGGGCGUAAAGCGCACGCAGGCGGUUUGUUAAGUCAGAUGUGAAAUCCCCGGG
rnacentral:rRNA from 1 species